rnacentral:rRNA from 1 species
UACGUAGGGUGCGAGCGUUGUCCGGAAUUAUUGGGCGUAAAGAGCUCGUAGGCGGUCUGUCGCGUCGAAUGUGAAAACCCGGGGCUCAACUCCGGGCUUGCAUUCGAUACGGGCAGGCUAGAGUUCGGUAGGGGAGUCUGGAAUUCCUGGCGUAGCGGUGAAAUGCGCAGAUAUCAGGAGGAACACCGGUGGCGAAGGCGGGACUCUGGGCCGAUACUGACGCUGAGGAGCGAAAGCGUGGGGAGCGAACAGG